rnacentral:sRNA from 1 species
GUCGGCUGAUCGGACGCCUCGGGUCCGGACCCUGAUUGCCCCCCAGCCCUCCCGAUCCGGGCGCCGGUCGGCCGACAGAUUACAUCCCCUCCCCUGAGAGGCCCGCGCACUCGUCCCCUCGGUGCGCGGGCU